rnacentral:lncRNA from 1 species
CAGAGCAAAACCAAGAAGUGAAAGCAUAGAAGGCAAUCACAAAGUGUUGAAAAAUUUUCAAAAUCGAAGAAAGAGAAAAAAUCCUCUCAAAUCCAAAUCCGACGAACCCCAAGAAGAUCAAAAUCUUCUUCAAAUCAAACAGGUUCGCGUCAAGUUCAAAAAGGUCAAAGUCUUCUUUAAAUUAAAUCAAGUUCAAGUCUAAGUGCCAAACAAAUCAAGUUUCAACAAAUUUUCAAAAACUAUGAUUCAAGCCACAUGACGCUUAUCUUCAAAUAUUCAGAUCAUUAAUCAAAGGUUUUUUUGCAAUUUUGCAAUUAUAAGAAGGUCAACAUUACUUAUAUUUCUCAAAAAAUAUAAUUUGUAACGAUUUCUGUAUUUUAAUACACGAAAUUUAUCGUACAGACCCAACAAACUCCAACUUAUGAGGGAUUCUCUGUUAUCAAGCGAGCUAUCUAAAGAAAACCAUCUUGGUUGUCAAAUCAAAACCAACUAAAUUUCGUGGGAUUGUUUAUUUUUAAUUUCUGUCAAUGUAUUUAUGUUUAAAUAUUUCACAUGUACAACCUAAGUGUUCACGUUGAGAUUUAAUAAAAACUCUUCCAGCAUUAUUCUUUGAACAAAAUUCUCUCGGCUCAAUUUCUCUUUAUGACGGAAAAUGGAAAAAAUAGGAUAAAAAAUUCAACGUUUAAAAUUUUGUAUAUUUAAAAACUAAAAGAAUUAGUUUUGAGCAUAAAAUACGGUUAAUUCUGAUCUUAGCGUUUCCUUUUAUAAAUUCCAGCUCAGUCUUUGUUCUUUAAAAGAAUUGGCCCUCUCUACAAAUAAUAGAUAAAAAAAUCAACUUAUUUUGAGUUGAAAUAAAAGUGAUAACAGAAUUCUGCCGCCACCUUUUGAGAAUUUAAGGUGAGUAAACAAAAUUUCAUCCUUAAUUUUAUAAACACGUGUGGAAUUUUGCAGAAAGUGGUAUUUGAUGAAAGUAGUCACUCGAGGCAACCGACGGCCAUUGUUUAGCAAACUGCCAACGGAGGACAAUGGUCUAUUAUGAUCGAUUUGAUAAGCUCUUUUAAUUUUCUAUAACCUGUCCAUGGUAAGAUCGAAGUCUGACUUGACGACGGGCUAAACCCAAUAAAGCUACUUAUACAAAGUAGGGUUACAAAGUGUAUUGACAAGAGUCAGGCCAUUAAUUUUAAAUGAUUUAAAAAUUUAUUUUUGAAGUAAUUAGUGUGGAUGUGAUUUUGUCAUCAAACUUUUCCAACCUCAUUUAUAAGUGUAGCAUAACUCGACUAAACUGGGCUAUCCAAUCCACUUUACUCGCUCCGUACAUAUCUAAUUUUAAUGUGGUUUGUAUUCAUGUAAGCAAAAAUGUUUGCAAAAAUUGCUCUUCAAAGUAAAUUAAGUGGGACACUGUCUAAUUGAUGUAGUAAGAAAAAAUAAACAAUGUAAAGAUGUUCGUCUUUAUGUAGAAGCUUUGGUCAAACAAAGUGAAUCAACAAAUUAUACUCUCUCAUUUUUCUUGCAUCGUAUAAAAUAUAUCACGGAUGAAAUUUAAAUAUUAUAGUCUAUUUAUCAAAUAUUAAUGUCACGUGAACUAUAAAUCUUUCUAUUUAUCUACAUUAAACUGCAAUUUAUUAUAUGCAUUGAAAAUGCUCUUAUACAUAUAUUUUGAUACAUUUUAAGCAAGAGUUAUGUUAUAUGUACAAAAUUGGUUUACAAAGUAAUAUAUGUAUCAAUCAUUUCAAUAACAAAUUUUUAAAUUAUUUAAAAUCAAUGAUCUGAAA